GAUGAACGCUAGCGGGAGGCCUAACACAUGCAAGCCGAGCGGUAUUUGUUCUUCGGAACAGAGAGAGCGGCGCACGGGUGCGGAACACGUGUGCAACCUGCCUUUAUCUGGGGGAUAGCCUUUCGAAAGGAAGAUUAAUACCCCAUAAUAUAUUGAGUGGCAUCACUUGAUAUUGAAAACUCCGGUGGAUAGAGAUGGGCACGUGCAAGAUUAGAUAGUUGGUGAGGUAACGGCUCACCAAGUCAAUGAUCUUUAGGGGGCCUGAGAGGGUGAUCCCCCACACUGGUACUGAGACACGGACCAGACUCCUACGGGAGGCAGCAGUGAGGAAUAUUGGACAAUGGGUUAGCGCCUGAUCCAGCCAUCCCGCGUGAAGGACGACGGCCCUAUGGGUGGUAAACUUCUUUUGUAUAGGGAUAAACCUACUCUCGUGAGAGUAGCUGAAGGUACUAUACGAAUAAGCACCGGCUAACUCCGUG
rnacentral:rRNA from 1 species